UACGUAGGGUGCAAGCGUUGUCCGGAAUUAUUGGGCGUAAAGAGCUCGUAGGCGGUCUGUCGCGUCUGCUGUGAAAACUCAGGGCUUAACCCUGAGCUUGCAGUGGGUACGGGCAGACUAGAGUGCGGUAGGGGAGACUGGAAUUCCUGGUGUAGCGGUGAAAUGCGCAGAUAUCAGGAGGAACACCGGUGGGCGAAGGCGGGUCUCUGGGCCGUAACUGACGC
rnacentral:rRNA from 1 species